rnacentral:rRNA from 1 species
CAGCAGCCGCGGUAAUACGUAGGGUGCAAGCGUUAAUCGGAAUUACUGGGCGUAAAGCGUGCGCAGGCGGUUUUGUAAGACAGAGGUGAAAUCCCCGGGCUCAACCUGGGAACUGCCUUUGUGACUGCAAGGCUAGAGUACGGCAGAGGGGGAUGGAAUUCCGCGUGUAGCAGUGAAAUGCGUAGAUAUGCGGAGGAACACCGAUGGCGAAGGCAAUCCCCUGGGCCUGUACUGACGCUCAUGCACGAAAGCGUGGGGAGCAAACAGGAUUAGAGACCCCAGUAGUCCCUGUCUCUUAUAC